rnacentral:rRNA from 1 species
AGUGAACGCUGGCGGCGUGCCUAAUACAUGCAAGUCGAACGGAGUGGCGCACGGGGGAGUAAUGUAUAGCUAAUCUGCCCUACACUAGAGGACAACCUUUGGGAACGACUGCUAAUACUCUAUAGUGUAGGAAGAGGCGAUAUUGUAUUAGCUAGUUGGUGAGGUAAUGGCUCACCAAGGCUAUGACGCAUAACUGGUCUGAGAGGAUGAUGAGUCAACCUGGAAGUGAGGCACGGGUCGGACUCCUACGGGAGGGAGCAGUAGCGAAUAGUGCUCAAUGGGGGGGAACCUGGAGCGGCAACGCGGCGUGGAGGAUGACAAUUUUGGGGGAGUGAACUCGUUUUGAUAGGGAAGCGGUACCGAACGAAUAAGCACCGGCUAACUCCGUGCCAGCAGCCGCGGUAAUAC